rnacentral:rRNA from 1 species
UAUUUGUAGAUUGUAUGACAGCGCGAUUGUUGUGAGGGUGAUCGCAGAACAUUGGAAAGCACUUUCACCUUUAGAUGGUCAACCGACCGCAGAUAUGAACUGGUCGCGUUCGUACUGAAGGUGUUCGUUAAAUUAAAGCAUUUUAUUCAACGAAGUAAAGUUUCACAGACGCGAUUCUUCGGUAAUAGCGAAUGAAGCAUGACACGGACAGUUCAAACUCAUCCACUACCUUGGCAUGAUUCAAGACGGGUGGCGAGCCGCACAGAUAANUGAUUUAAUUGCAAUAUGAUAGUUGCGUGGUGAUAGGCCAACAUGUUCCACGGCGGGCUUAUGUACUCAGUCUGCGCUAUUCUCAAUUGUCGAAACAUUAUUGUGAACUGAAGAUAUCCGCCUUCAUAACUUUAACUUGAUAAUCGGUCCGUCAGCAUACAAUUACUAUUUGGGUAAGGGCAAGGGCAAUUUGAAAAGGCGAUUUAUAUACGCAAUGCGUUGAUUGAAAACGAUUUGAAUCCGAUUACUGCUCGGCGUGCGCCGGGCCAAUCGACUGAGAACGAGACCUUUACUGCCUUAUCAAGGAAAUGAUACUGGUUCACGUUGAUGUUUAUAAACUUUGUCAGGAACAGUUCGACCCGUCUUGAAACAUGGACUAAGGAGUUUGACGUGUGGGCAAGUCCUGAUUUCGAAAGCUAACUGACGCAUUGAGAAAUUCAACGGCAAGGCAGAAACUCGUGGUUGUACUUCUAUGCGCUUCGCCGUCCACUAACCAAGGCCCGAAAGGUGAUGAACUAUAUCUUCUAAGAUCGAAUCUGGGAGAAAUUUCAGUGGAGGAUCGGAGCGUUGUUGACGUGCAAAUCACUCGCCACAUGACUAUAUAGGGGCGAUAGACUCAUCGAAUCAUCUAGUAGCUGGUUCCUACCAAAGUUUCCCNCAGGAUAGCUGAUUGUGCAGCGAUAUGUCAUGUAAAGAGUAUGAUGAAACAUGUCGACUGAUUUGUGUCGGCUUCCUCUUUCAGACUUUAAAUGGGCUCCCCGUCGUUGACUUUGGAAAAUGAAAUAAGAGAUCUCUCUCAGUGGGCCUCUUUUGGUAAACAGAUCUGGCGAUGAGGAAUGAACCUUCAAGCCGCGUAAUACGCACCUUCUCUUGGGAUUGUGGAUCGAAACAGUGCUGGUGAUUCGAAACAGUAGGACGGUGGUCAUGGAAGUCGAAACCCGUUAAGGAGUGUGUAAGAACUCACCUUCCGAAAUUUCCAACCUCAAAAAUGGAUUGCAUUCUUCUUUGUAUGGAAUAACGGUUUCGUGUGAGAUUAGUGGAGUCAAGUAGGUAGGUAGUUGAUGAUGCAAUGAUUGUUCGGCGCUGGCCGAUCAUAGCUAGUCGAUGAAAGGAUCUUGGUGAUAGUAGCGAUGAUUUAAUCAAAGCUGUAGAAGAGCAGGGUUCCUUGGGACCUGCAAGUGUGCAAGAGUAAGUUCCUUCUCAGUCGACAAUGUCAUCGGUCCCAAUUCUGACUCGCAAUGAUCUUCAGAGCAUAUUUUCUGAUCUGUGGUCUUGUCAAUGGAAACGUAUCAGCUGUUCUUACGAAGACUAGUUCUGACAAGGACACCUCAUCUCCUGUUGAUAGUACGAAAUACCUGUAGUUCGUUCCGAGGUGAAGGUAAAACCGACUCGUCAUAGUUUUUUAUGCGCAGCCACUAACUUCGGAAACGCUUUCUUCCCAGGAAAAGGAAUGGAACGAGAUACAUGCAACAAGGAUACUCACAUCCGCAUCAGGUUUCUGACGUCAAAUCCGUAUGGUUUGUAGUUCAAAGUAGGCAUGGUAAGUCGGCAACACGGAUCUGUACCUUUGGGACAUAGAUUGGCUUUGAACGCAGCACUGAUGAUCUUAGACAUCUAUACUAUUUCUGGUUUCCUGCGUGUUCAGAACUCGAUGCGAACAGGGAAAUUCGACUGUUUAAUUAAAACAAAGUCUUGCGUUGGUUCUCGGGCACAUGCACGCAAAAUGAUUUCUGCCCAGUGCUCUGAAUGUUGUCCUGAUGGAAAUCAAUUAAGCGCGGGUAAACGGCGGGAGUAACUAUGACUCUCUUAAGGUAGCCAAAUGCCUCGUCAUCCAAUUAGUGACGUGCAUGAAUGGAUUAGCGAGAUUUCUUCUGUCCCAGUCUAGUGUCUAGCGAAAUCACAGCCAUGGGAACGGGUGUGGGCAAUUCAGCGGGGAAAGAAGACCCUGUUGAGCUUGACUCUGGUCUCUUCGGAGGGAUGGUUUGGAGGGUGCAGGAUAUGUGGGAGUUCGCGCUUCACUGAAAUACCACUUCCUCUGAAAUCAUACGUCUUACUCGGCGAUGUUACAUGAUAUUCAAGAAUUUAUGCUGUUGACGGGAACCAAAGUGAUUGGGAGUUCGGCUGGGGCGGCACAUCUGUCAAAGGACAACGCAGGUGUUCGAAAUGUUGGCUCAACGUGGGCAGAAACCUCGUGUGGACUAGAAGGGGAUAUGCUGCCUUUAUUUGAAUCUAGUGCCAGGUUGAGCACGGUUAAAGCUUGACCUAUCGAUCCUUUGGUGAUAAUGUUGUUUUUCCUAGAGGUGUCAGAAAAGUUACCACAGGGAUAACUGGCUUGUGGCGGCCAAGCGUUCUCAGCGACGUCGCUUUUUGAUCCUUCGAUGUCGGCUCUUCCUAUCCUUCUGUCGCAGACGUCGGAAAGUGUUGGAU